UACUCUAGGGAUAACAGCACAAUAAAAGCCAAGAGAACUUAUCUACCCUUUAGAUUGUGACCUCGAUGUUGAAUCAAGAAUUAUUAGUCGCAGAAGACUAACAGGUUUCGUCUGUUCGACGAUUCAAAAAUACGUGAUUUGAGUUUAAACCGUCGCAAGACAGGUUGGAUUCUCUUUAAAGCUGUACCACAUAACCACUACUAG
rnacentral:ncRNA from 1 species